UUAUCAAAGAGCAUAAACCAUGAAAUUUUCAAGUUGCCGCGGAGCAGAAGUCACAGCUCGAGCUUGCAUUGAUACAACGUCAUGCUCCUCUCACUACAUGAAGAGCUCUGGAUAUACCAAGAUGGAAAACUUUAGCAUGAGUUCUGCUACGUUACGGUAGUUUACGCAUAUAUGAAACGGUUACUACAACUAGUCUAGGACCAUAAAAGCAUGAAUGCAAUCGACCCCACGUUUGGGUAAUAAGUCCAGAUGUGUGAAUCUAAAAAAUCUUAAAUGAUACUCUCGCAACUGAAGCACUGCAUAGCAAUCUGCCCACGGUCCCAAUUUUGCCAUUUGGAUUAAAAAUAGAGGACGUUUUGACCCCAAAACGUAUGGUUACAUC
rnacentral:lncRNA from 1 species